rnacentral:lncRNA from 1 species
CCAACAUACACAAAUCAGUUUUAAUUCAAAUGGAUAAGUAAAUUGAAUUCACAACUUAUGAAUCACAACUAAAAGUAAUCAAAUCAUAUUGCAAGCAUGAACAUGGUUUCGAAUUCCCUCCUAGCUAAGGGGGGUUUAGUUCCUCAUACUCACAAAGCAAAGAUAAACAAAUUUAGACAUUGCAAAUAAAAGAAUGAAAACACCUAAAAACACUCCAACAAUCCAACUUGAAUGGCAAACACGUCCAAGGGUCCUCCUUCUUCUCUUUGUUGCGGCACAAGUGUCUAGGAUGUGUAUGAAUGGUAAAUUAUGGUGGUGGAUGGAUAUAGGUCAGUUAUGGUGAAGGGUGGAUGGGUGGAUUGUGUUCUCUCGGCCAAGGAAUGAAAGUGUAAGUGUAUGGAGUUGUGAGAUGUGAAUGUAGUGUCUUUUGAUGGAUCUUUUUCUCCAUUUUCCUUGUUAUGGUGAAGGGUGGAUGUAUUUAUAGGCUAGGGAGAGGACCACCAUCUAAUUAAGGUGGUAGUGGUGUAUGUUGUGGUAAUGAGUGGAUGUAAUGGAUGUAGUGGGUGAAUGUUUGGUAAUGAGUAGAUGUAAUGGGUGUAGUGGGUGAGUGUUUGGUAAUGAGUGGAUGUAAUGGGUGUAGUGGAUGGAUGUUUGGUAAUGAGUAGAUGUAAUGGUGUAGUGGGUGAGUGUUGUGGUAAUGAGUAGAUGUAAUGGGUGUAGUGGGUGAGUGUUUGGUAAUGAGUGGAUGUAGUGGGUGAGUGGAUGUAGUGGGUGUAGUGGAUGGAUGUUUGGUAAUGAGUGGAUGUAGUGUGUGUAGU